rnacentral:rRNA from 1 species
AAAGAAACUAACAAGGAUUCCCUUAGUAACUGCGAGUGAAGAGGGAAGAGCUCAAAUUUAAAAUCUGGCAGUGUUUUGCUGUCCGAGUUGUAAUCUAGAGAAGUGCUGCCCGUGCUGGACCAUGUACAAGUCUCCUGGAAUGGAGCGUCACAGAGGGUGAGAAUCCCGUCUUUGACAUGGACUACCAGUGCAUUUGUGGUGUGCUCUCAAAGAGUCGAGUUGUUUGGGAAUGCAGCUCUAAAUGGGUGGUAAACUCCAUCUAAAGCUAAAUAUUGGCGAGAGACCGAUAGCGAACAAGUACCGUGAGGGAAAGAUGAAAAGAACUUUGGAAAGAGAGUUAAACAGUAUGUGAAAUUGUUGAAAGGGAAACGCUUAAAGUCAGUCGUGUCGGCCAGGGAUCAACUCAGCUUUCUCUGCUGGGUGUACUUCCUGAUCUGAUGGGCCAACAUCAGUUUUGACUGCUGGAGAAGGAUAGAGGGAAUGUGGCACCUUUGGGUGUGUUAUAGCUCUCUGUCAGAUGCAGUGGUUGGGACUGAGGAUUGCAGCAUGCCGCAAGGCCGGGUCAUUUCGACCACGUUCAUGCUGAGGAUGUUGGCAUAAUGGCUUUAAUCGACCCGUCUUGA